UAGUGAUGGAUUAUUUUCCCUGUUACCAGACGAUAUCGUCCACCAAAUCCUCAGUUUUCUCACUCUGAGACAGAGAACAAUAGCUUCUCUUGUUUCUAAAAAAUGGCGUCACAUGAUGACAUCAUUGCAAAUUUGUGAAAACACAUUCUACAAAUAUAUACUGUGAAAAUUGCUAUGGAAAGAACUGUAAAAACUGCUCUCACAUCCGCCAUGUUAUCAAACUUGGUGGGGACAACAAUUUCACGGAAUUCUAUUUGUUUUGCAGCGCUUUGUUCAAAUUGUCCCCAGCUAUUUUAGAGUCAAGAUUAUUAACCGUUCUGCAUCUAGACUGCUGCACCCUUGACUUUGGUGAUAUUAAGGAGUUGCCUCUAUUAAAAGAGAUAUAUUUUGAUCGCGUUCGGAUCUCUCCCAUAACUUUCUACAUGCUUAUCAACAAUUGCCCUUCUAUGGUUGAGUUGACGUUGAAAGAUUGUCCUGACCUAGAUUCCAUCUUUGUGCCUCCUCAUCUGAAUGAACUUAAAAAGGUUCAUGUGAAACGCCAUUUAAUUCAUGCAAUUGAAAUAGGAGCUCGAAAUCUACGGGAGUUUCACUUGUUGAGUUCAUCAUCAUCAUCAUCAUCACUAGAACUUGAUUUGCGGGCAUGUACUAAACUACAAGUCCUGAAAAUUGAUUGUGAGUUCAUGCCCGCCGGAAUUCCUGAGGUGAUUUCCUUGGCAUUUCCGCAUCUUAAAUCCUUGUUUCUUCGUUUAUGUAGAAGAUUGAACAAAAUCAAACUUUUGAGUCCUGAAUUGGAGAAUUUGACCUUAAGUCACAUGAUUGACCUUCGCGAUGCUACCAUUUUUACUCCCAAUUUACGUUCCUUCAAGCUAAUAGAUAUAAAAAAACAAAGUCCCAAGCUGGUCUCCAGUGGUAAUUGGUUCAAGGCUAACGGAAGUUGAGAUUGGGUUGAAGUAUGUUUAUGCAACCAAUAGGUUGCCUGACUUGAGAACUUUUGCUGAAAAUUUGGGUGAAAAUUUGACCUUCUCCUUGGAAACUAAGGCAACUGAAUCAAAGGAUGUAAAAUUUCAUUCGAGCAAUCAUUGGAGCUUUAUUCAACCACUUUAUAUCAAGCAUAUAAAUUUGGUAAUAUAUUAUUCAUGGGAUCCACCGAGAUAUGGACAUUUUAUUGAUGAAUUAUUUGGUUACUUCUAUCCGCGGACCUUGAUGGUGAGAGUAAAUUCAGAUGCCCUAAAGUAUAACUUUAUACAGGUCCUAUUAGAUGAGCUGAAAGGUCAGAAAAGGGAAUGCAGCAAGCACUAUAAAUGUAGUAACAACACGAGUUGGCGUAAUUUCUUGAACGGUUUUAAGAUCCUCAAAUCAACAACAAGACAACCUGCUAAUCAAAUUCGCUUGAAGUUCCAAUGGCACCUCCAUUAGUUGUGGGCUAUUACGAUUUGAGCUACUAUGCUGGAGAGUACUUUGGUAGCCGCAAACAUUAUUAAGUGGUUAUUCUGAAUGUGUGAUCUUAUCUCGCAGCUUUAUGUGGCGGAAAGAAUAAUUUUUACAUAUCAAAACCUGAUAACAUACUGCAAAAACCUUGUUACUCCUACAUUCACACUAGACCAAAAGCUUUAUUUGAACAAUUUAUUGGCUGAUUGUUUUUUUUGACUUUGUGAUUAAUUUCGUAGUCUUCUAGUUGUGUUUUCACAUCACAUUAAUCAGGUACUGGAUCUUUUGUUUCCCCUGGAAGAUUUUCUUGAUUCAUCAGCCCUGAGCAUUUUAAGUCUCUAUGUUUAA